CCUACGGGUGGCAGCAGUGAGGAAUAUUGGUCAAUGGCCGCUAGCCGGAACCAGCCAAGUAGCGUGAAGGAUGACUGCCCCAUGGGUUGUAAACUUCUUUUAUAUGGGGAUAAAAUGCAGUAUGUAUACUUCUUUGCAUGUACCUUAUGAAAAAGGAUCGGCUAACUCCGUGCCAGCAGCCGCGGUAAUACGGAGGAUCCGGGCGUUAUCCGGAUUUAUUGGGUUUAAAGGGAGCGUAGGCGGGUUGUUAAGUAAGCUGUGAAAGUUUGGGGCUCAACCGCAAACUUGCAGUUGAUACUGGCAUUCUUGAGUACUGUAGAGGUAGGCGGAAUUCGUAGUGUAGCGGUGAAAUGCUUAGAUAUUACGAAGAACUCCGAUUGCGAAGGCAGCAUGCUGG
rnacentral:rRNA from 1 species